rnacentral:misc_RNA from 1 species
GAAAUGCGAUAAUUAAUGUGAAUUGCAGAAUUCAGUGAAUUAUCGAGUCUUUGAACGCACAUUGCGCCCCCUGGUAUUCCGGGGGGCAUGCCUGUCCGAGCGUCAUUGCUGCCCUCAAGCACGGCUUGUGUGUUGGGCUUCCGUCCCUGGCAACGGGGACGGGCCCAAAAGGCAGUGGCGGCACCAUGUCUGGUCCUCGAGCGUAUGGGGCUUUGUCACCCGCUCCCGUAGGUCCAGCUGGCAGCUAGCCUCGCAACCAAUCUUUUUAACCAGGUUGACCUCGGAUCAGGUAGGGAUACCCGCUGAACUUAAGC